rnacentral:rRNA from 1 species
AGGGUGCAAGCGUUAAUCGGAAUUACUGGGCGUAAAGCGUGCGCAGGCGGUUNNGNAAGACAGGUGUGAAAUCCCNGGGCUNAACCUNGGAACUGCANUUNUNACUNCCNAGCUAGAGUNNGNCAGAGGGGGNUGGAAUUCCGCGUGUAGCAGUGAAAUGCGUAGAUAUGCGGAGGAACACCGAUGGCGAAGGCAGCCCCCUGGGAUGAUACUGACGCUCAUGCACGAAAGCGUGGGGAGCAAACAGGAUUAGAUACCCUGGUAGUCCACGCCCUAAACGAUGUCAACUAGNUGUUGGGGGCUUCGGCCCUUAGUANCGCAGCUAACGCGUGAAGUUGACCGCCUGGGGAGUACGGUCGCAAGAUU